GAGUUUGAUCUUGGCUCAGAUUGAACGCUGGCGGCAGGCCUAACACAUGCAAGUCGAGCGGUAGAGAGAAGCUUGCUUCUCUUGAGAGCGGCGGACGGGUGAGUAAUGCCUAGGAAUCUGCCUGGUAGUGGGGGAUAACGCUCGGAAACGGACGCUAAUACCGCAUACGUCCUACGGGAGAAAGCAGGGGACCUUCGGGCCUUGCGCUAUCAGAUGAGCCUAGGUCGGAUUAGCUAGUUGGUGAGGUAAUGGCUCACCAAGGCGACGAUCCGUAACUGGUCUGAGAGGAUGAUCAGUCACACUGGAACUGAGACACGGUCCAGACUCCUACGGGAGGCAGCAGUGGGGAAUAUUGGACAAUGGGCGAAAGCCUGAUCCAGCCAUGCCGCGUGUGUGAAGAAGGUCUUCGGAUUGUAAAGCACUUUAAGUUGGGAGGAAGGGCAGUAAAUUAAUACUUUAGCUGUUUUGACGUUACCGACAGAAUAAGCACCGGCUAACUCUGUGCC
rnacentral:rRNA from 1 species